AUGUCCCGCCACCCCGCUCGCCACUUCCUCCCGUUGCUUCGCCGCCGCCACCUCCACCAUUCGGUCCAUCUCCCCUACACAUCCGUGCCCAUUCCCCCCGACGCGAUCCCCUCCACCUCCAUCCCGUCGUCCACGUCCCCGCCGCCGUUUCAUCCCGCGCCCUGGCCGCAGUCGUGUUCGCCCACCUCCACGCCGCUCCCGCCUUUCACGGCCUCCCACCUCCGCGCGGCCGUCUCCUCCCUCGCCGCCUCUCUUCUGGCUCUGCCCGACCCGGAUCCCGACCCCCUGCCCGCCCUCCACGCCCAUUCAUUCCCCACCAUCCUCGCAGUCUCACCGCUCGCCUCCCUCGAGCUCCUGUCCCUCCUCCGCCCCAAGCCCUACCUCGGCCUCGCGGUCUUUUCGUUUCGCCGCACGCUUUCGCCGCCGCCCACGCUCCCCGAGUUUGUCUUCGCCAUCUCGCUUGCCAGCCGCGCCCGCGACCCCACCGCCGCGGCCAACAUCUUCACCGACGCCUCCAGCGCCUACUGCCCCGACCAGGCGCUCUACAAUGCCCUCAUGGCCGCCUACAUGCACAGUGGCCUUGUGAAUAGCUGCGUCGAGGCCUUCCACGCGCUGCGGCGUGAUCCACGGUGUGGUCCGCCCAAUGCGGACUCCUUCAACAUCCUCAUCGCUCUCUUCGGUCGCUCCCUCCUCGUCGACCACAUGGAGGCUACACUCCAGUCGCUGGAUGCCUCAGGACAGCCCCGUACAAUUGGUACCUAUAACGCAGUCAUCGCUGGCUACCUCACGGCAUGGAUGUGGGACAAGAUGGAAGCAGUGUUCCAUGAAAUGAUGCCAGGUGGAGUUGUUCCAGACACCACUACACAUUUGUUGAUGUUAAGAGGUUACUCACAUGCUGGGAAGAUUUAUAAGAUGGAGCUGGCUUAUGAGCGUGCUCGUGAGCAUGCUGGCGAGGUUGAUAUAGUGCAUAUACGUGCAAUGCUAUGUGCAUAUUGCAAGUUUAAACAUGUAGAUAGGAUUCAAAAGAUCGAGGAGUUGCUUCUGAAGUUGCGUCCUGAGGAUUAUAGGCCCUGGCUCAAUGUGUUGUUAAUUAGUGUGUAUGCCAAGGAGGGGUUGGUUGAGGGGAUGGAAAGAAGGAUCGCUGAGGCAUUGGAACGCAAUACCACAGUCACCACAACACAUGUGAUGCGGUCCGUCAUAACCAACUAUUUCCAGUGUGACGCUGUCGACAGACUCGCACACUUUGUCCGGCAGGCUGAGGAGGCCGGAUGGAAGCUGUGCCGGAGUUUAUACCACUGCAAGAUGGUGAUGUAUGGGAAGCACCAUCGACUUGCAGAGAUGCAUGGGGUGUUGGAUGAGAUGGAGUAUUUUAGGUUUGACCGGACAAAGAAGACCUUCUGGAUUCUGCACAAAGCAUAUCUGAGCUGUGGAAGAAGAUCUGAGGCUGAUACGAUACUUGGCAUGAUGUGGAAGCACGGUUUUGGAUCCCCUUCUGGCGUAUUUUUUCAAUAA
rnacentral:rRNA from 1 species